rnacentral:rRNA from 1 species
UGAGAAGUAAGACUAACUACCCAAUGACGUCUCUAGAAGACAUCUAGAAAGAGAAUUAAAGAUUUAUCGGUGAUGGAUGGGGAUGCGUCUGAUUAGCUUGUUGGCGGGGUAACGGCCCACAAGGCGACGAUCAGGUAGGGGUUCUGAGAGGAAAGUCCCCCACAUUGGAACUGAGACACGGUCCAAACUCCUACGGGAGGCAGCAGUGAGGAAUAUUGGUCAAUGGGCGAGAGCCUGAACCAGCCAAGUAGCGUGCAGGAAGACGGCCCUAUGGGUUGUAAACUGCUUUUAUACGGGGAUAAAGUGGGCCACGUGUGGCUUAUUGCAGGUACCGUAUGAAUAAGGACCGGCUAAUUCCGUG